GAAGAUAGUUUUGUCCCAUUAUCAUAGGGCUUUCACCAUUUUGCUGUUUUUAAAAGGAGCCAUGAGUGUUGCAUUUAUAUAGAUUGUGAUUUCUUCUGACCAAAGCUCACCUUGUGAUCAGACCAUAGUAAGGUGGGCAGGUGAUUUAAUUGGUGAGAAACUCGAUGGUCCCUGUGAAGAGAAACUCUAGCAAAGCCCACCUGCCAAGACUGGAAAGAAUGGGUUGGAGAAUUUGCAUAGGUCUGUUUCAAGGCUGAGAGAUUGAGUUGAAUUGCUCAGUACUGCGAAGAGCAGGAUAGAGUGAUGAAUGAGUGAUGAAGGAUAGAGAGAUGAAUAGAGUGAUGAACAUUAGAGGGAUUAGGAGAGUUGUAAGAAAUUAAAGGAGAAAGCAAGGAAAAGGACUAAAUGAGCAACAGGAAUGUCAAUUCUUAUGUCUGUCCACCUCCUCCUGCCUCCACUAAAAGGUCUCCCUUUGCCCAUAGCCCCUGCUGAAGAGGCAGCCACCACUGUCUUGGCGCAGUAGUUUGGACCAGAAGUAACACCUAACUAAGAGCCAGAAGACCUAUGUUGUGACUUAGUAGAGAAAGUAAUGAAGACUCAACAAGAUUUCCCUUGCUGGAAGUUGGACAGACUUCUCUGCCAUCUGAGUCAGAAGGAGGAAGAGAAUAUAUUUCAAUCCCUAGGUUUUUGGAAAGGAAAAAUGAAGGCCACAUAAAAAAACCCAGACAUUUUGAGGCAAAUGUAAAGUAAAGCUUUGAAAUUGGACAUCUUAAAAGUAUUAUACAAGGUAAGCUUUUUUUGGGGGGAGGGGGCGGGAGGUGGUGCACCUACAGUGUAUGGAAGUUCCCAGACUAGGGGUGGAUUAGGAGCUUCAAGCUGCUUCUGUGACACACACCGCAGCUCAUGGCAACCCAGGAUCCUUAACCCGCUGAGCAGGGCCAGGGAUCCAACCCGCAUCCCUACAGAUACUAGUCGAAUUCUUUUCUGCUGAGUCACAUGCUUGCUAAAAUAUUUUAUAAAGUGCCUUUUAAACUAAAAACUAAGUAUCCAUCUCAUCUCUAUGACUUCUAAAAAUUACUUACAGUUUUAUAAGACUUUGGCCUUUAUCUUACUAUGGCAUAAGCCCCAAAUUUUUGUUCAUUUCCAAGAACUAAACUUUGUGGCCCUUAUUGCAGAAUUUUGUUGACUUUAUAAGCUUAGUGCAGAAAACUCCUCCGUGGAGGAU
rnacentral:lncRNA from 1 species